rnacentral:rRNA from 1 species
AGAGUUUGAUCCUGGCUCAGAACGAACGCUGGCGGCGUGGAUAAGACAUGCAAGUCGAACGGGACUUGUUUCGUAGCAAUACGAGGCAAGUUCAGUGGCGUAAGGGUGCGUAACACGUGGGGAAUCUGCCGAGAAGUGGGGGAUAGCUCGCCGAAAGGCGAAUUAAUACCGCAUGUGGCUACUGAAGACAUCUUCAGGACGCCAAAGCCGGGGCAACCUGGCGCUUCUUGAUGACCCCGCGGCCUAUCAGCUAGUUGGUGAGGUAACGGCUCACCAAGGCGAUGACGGGUAGCUGGUCUGAGAGGACGACCAGCCACACUGGAACUGAGACACGGUCCAGACACCUACGGGUGGCAGCAGUCGAGAAUUUUUCUCAAUGGGGGAAACCCUGAAGGAGCGACGCCGCGUGGAGGAUGAAGGUCUUCGGAUUGUAAACUCCUGUCAUUGGGGAACAAUUGUCACACGUUAACUGCGUGGGGCUUGAUAGUACCCGAAGAGGAAGAGACGGCUAACUCUGUGCCAGCAGCCGCGGUAAUACAGAGGUCUCAAGCGUUGUUCGGAUUCAUUGGGCGUAAAGGGUGCGUAGGCGGCGGGGUAAGUCGGAUGUGAAAUCCCGGAGCUCAACUCCGGAACUGCAUUCGAUACUGCUCUGCUUGAGGACUGGAGAGGAGAUCGGAAUUCACGGUGUAGCAGUGAAAUGCGUAGAUAUCGUGAGGAAGACCAGUGGCGAAGGCGGAUCUCUGGACAGUUCCUGACGCUGAGGCACGAAGGCCAGGGGAGCAAACGGGAUUAGAUACCCCAGUAGUCC